rnacentral:rRNA from 1 species
AGUCGAGGGGCAGCGGGGGCGAAGCUUGCUUCGCCUGCCGGCGACCGGCGCACGGGUGAGUAACACGUAUGCGACCUGCCCCCCGCAGGGGGAUAACCGGGAGAAAUCCCGACUAAUACCGCGUAACGCCGCGGGGCUGCAUGGCCCCGCGGCCAAAGGAAGCGAUUCCGGCGGGGGAUGGGCAUGCGGCGCAUUAGCUAGUCGGCGGGGUAACGGCCCACCGAGGCGACGAUGCGUAGGGGUACUGAGAGGAAGGUCCCCCACACUGGUACUGAGACACGGACCAGACUCCUACGGGAGGCAGCAGUGAGGAAUAUUGGUCAAUGGGCGGGAGCUUGAACCAGCCAAGUCGCGUGAGGGAAGACGGUCCUACGGAUUGUAAACCUCUUUUGCCGGGGAGCAACGGGGUCCUUGCGAGGGUCUGAUGAGAGUACCCGGAGAAAAAGCAUCGGCUAACUCCGUGCCAGCAGCCGCGGUAAUACGGAGGAUGCGAGCGUUAUCCGGAUUUAUUGGGUUUAAAGGGUGCGUAGGCGGGCUGUUAAGUCAGCGGUCAAAUGUCGGGGCUCAACCCCGGCCUGCCGUUGAAACUGGCGGCCUCGAGUGGGCGAGAAGUAUGCGGAAUGCGUGGUGUAGCGGUGAAAUGCAUAGAUAUCACGCAGAACUCCGAUUGCGAAGGCAGCAUACCGGCGCCCGACUGACGCUGAGGCACGAAAGCGUGGGUAUCGAACAGGAUUAGAUACCCUGGUAGUCCACGCAGUAAACGAUGAAUGCUAGCUGUCCGGGGCUUCGGCUCUGGGUGGCACAGCGAAAGCGUUAAGCAUUCCACCUGGGGAGUACGCCGGCAACGGUGAAACUCAAAGGAAUUGACGGGGGCCCGCACA